GAAGUAAGCCAAAGCUGCUGAAGCUUGGUCUGCCGCCUUUUUAGUCUGAGUUUUCCCGUUCAGGUACUAUACUAGUCCACCAGUGACCCCGGACAGUAACAAAGCAUUACAGCCCGAACCCACCUCCCGCCACCAUCGUAGGUUCUGUACCUCACUUGGGAAUCAGUAAACCAUGGCAUCUAAGAAAUUUGCCGUUAAAGUAAGUAAUAUUUAGUAGUUGCCUUUAAGAGGUCACUCACUUUUUCUUGCACAAAUUUUGAUGUUUUUAAGUUGAUCUCUACUCUUUAAAUUUACAAUUAUGGAAGUUUUAAGUAGAUAACACCAAAAUUUUAAGAAGAGAUGGAUGAGAAAACUAGUAAUUCUAACAAUUAUAAAAAGUCUUUGUUGAAAAUCUUUUAUUUAGGAUACUUUUUGGUUAUAACUCUGUUCCCAAUGCUAAUAGCAAUCACACUGAAUGUCCAUGACUUUUGAGGAUAACAGAACAGGUCAAAGUCAAAGAAGUAGGCAAUGCUGUUGGAUCUGAGUACAUCUGAGAGAAUGCUCCCAAUUGUCUGCUGCCUCCUCAGCCUUUAUUGUUAGCUAAACACAGAGUAGAGGCAUCUGAGGAAGGCCUCAGUGAGGAGUUGCCUGGAUUAGAUUGGCCAUAUGGAUAUAUAGCCAUAUCUAAGAGAGAGGUGUUGUUUUGUUCAUUAAUUGAUGCAGGGAGGCCGGAGCCCACUAUGGGCAGUUCUCUCUUCCUAGACAGGUGAUCCUGUCUAUGUGGUGGUCCUGGGCUAAGAAAGUGAUAUAAGCAUGAACAUGUGAGUGAACUUUGAGAAAGCUAAUGGGCAGGCCAACAAUGCAGUUCCUCCAUUCUUUCUACUUCAAGCUCCUCCCUCAAGUUCAGGCCCUGACUUCCCUCAAAGAUGGGCUGUGAUUUUUACUUGUAAACUAACUCCCCCAUCCUCCUGCCUCUCAAGUUGCCUUUGUCCAAUAUGUUAUCACAGCAACAGAAAGAAGACUAGAACAGCUGAUGUCUUUCAUUUUUCUCUUAUAAAUACUUCUCUAUCCAUUAGAUGAAGAGCUGAGACCUUAGGUAUUGAGUGAUAAAGGAUUCUAUGUGGGGAAGAUCAGUGGAAGACUGAUAAAUACUUAAUGUGAGCUCUUGGAGAUAGUUUCAUAUACAUUUGCUGUUCUCUUAGUUCUGUAGUGGUGUUACCUUACAUAACAAGUAAAAACAGCAGGGUAGACUGGUGAGAUGGCUCAUCAGGUAAAGGGACUUGGCAUAAAGUCUGACUGAUCCUCAGUUGUACUCCUGAGCCCCACAUGGUGGAAGGAGAGAACCAAGUCCUGCAGGUUCCCUUUUUGCUUGCACACACACAAGUAUAUGUAAUAAUUAAAAUAAAAAACAACAACAAAAUGGUAAAUUCCAGUAUUUAACUAACCAGAUUGGGCUGGAGAGGUGGCUCACAGGUUAAGAGCACUGGAUGCUCUUCCAGAGAUUCUCAGUUCAAUUCCAAGCACCCAUAUGGUGGCUCACAACCAUCUGUAAUGUAAUCUGGUGCCCUCUUCUGGCCUGUAGGCAUACAUGCCAUCAGAACACUGUAAUAAAUAAAUAAAUCUUUAAAAAAUAAUUAACUAGAUUAUGAACUAAUAUAAUAUUAUUAUGUUAUCUUAGCUAAAUUGGUGCUUGUUUACUAAUGUAUUUAUACAUUUCAUUGUUUACAGUUACUUCUGGAUACAUAUGCUCUUGAGUAUUUCAUAAGGGUGUCUAAGUGGAGAACAUUCACUAUUUGUCUAUAAAAAUGUAUCAUGAUUUUCCUCUAGACUAGAGUCUAGAAAGAUAUUAAGUUGUAUUUUAGAAUGCUAGUUUGAACAUAAUCUUAAAGAGUAGCAAGAUUCUGUCUCAAAAGAUAAAAGUAAAAUUGUCUGAUGAUCUAUGACAUUAAUUCCAGCACUGAGGAGGCAGAGGUAGGUAGAUAUCUGUUAAUUCAAAGCCAGCCUGGUCUACAUAGUGAAACCCGGGAGAGAGCAGAGAGAAGGGAGGGGCGGGGAGAUGAUUCAUGACUUAAAAUAAUAACCUAAAAAACUACUGUCAUGAUUCUUUCCUGGUUUUGUAUAGGUGGUCUCUCCUUUCGAUGUUAGCUGGGUCUGGUGCUAUUGCAUCGUAUGAUACUGUACUUCCUUGCUGUUUCUUCCUCCCCUCCCUGCUCCCAGGGGUCUAGAUGAAUGGAACCAUUGUUUUCACUUCACUUUUGGGUAGAGAAGCGCAGUUUUAGUUACAUUUUUCACCAAUGUCAGUUACCAUUUCUCAAAGGAAUGAAGUAGAAAGCUCUUUUGAAUGGCUCCUGCUCUGGAAAACUUAAACCUUUGGUCAUAGACAAACUGAGCUUAAAAGUAUUAUCUACACAUUGGAAUUUUCCCCAAUUCUAGAUUCACUGCAAGUGACUCCAUUUCUAAGUCCCCACUUCCUGUCAGUGCCUCUGGGACAUUAUGAGUCCAGCUUUCUAGCUUCCCCAGUGCAUCUUGGCUCUAGAUAGUCUGACAGCCUAGGCUUGACCCUCAUUAAGUCCUGGUUGUAGAUAAUGCUAUGGGGGUUUGUUUUUACUCUUCUUUCCAGAUAACCACCAGUUUCUAAUCUAUAUUCUUUCUUUUAUUUACUUGGGUAUAUCUUCUCUUCCUUUCCUAAGUUCUUAAGGCAGAAACCUAAGCCUUCGCCAUCAAACUUUUUCUUUUGUGUAUACUUUAAAGCCAUAUGGUUCUGUCAAAGCAUUUCAUACUUAAUUGUAUCCUUCACAGUGGAUGCAAUUAAGGUGGGCAUUUAGUCAAAGAAGUCCUAAAUUUCCUUAUGAUUUAUGAUUUUUGUCUAUUGGCUAUUGUAAUCUCUGUUGUUUUCUGUUUGGGAAUUUCUAUUGAUCCUAUUUAAUUUGCUGUUUAGGGAAGUUCUGUUUUGAUAAAAUACUGCUCUGUAAGCAUUUGAAAAGUGUGAUAUCUAUAAAUAUAUAUAUAUAUACAUAUAUAUAUAUAUAUAUAUUAUAUAAAAUCAGGUAUAGUAAUAUAUAAUAUGUGCAUGUAGAACAAGUCAGAUUUGACAGUUUUGUUAUAUCAGUUUAUUAUGUAUUUGCUAAUAUUUUUGUCCAUGUGUUCAAUCAGUUGAAAGAUACAUUAAAGUAUCCCACUGUGAUUUAAUAUUUAUAUAUUUCUCUGUGUAAUUUUAUUGAAUUUUCUUUGUUUAGUUUGAAAUUAUGUUCUUAGAUACAGAAAACAUUAUAGUUAAGAUAUCAUUUAUUGAAUUUAUUUUGAGAUAUCUUUUUAUCUCUAUACUUCUUAAAUUAUAGUCUGUUUUUCUGACAUUCGUGUAACCUACGUUUGGGAUCAGUUAAUCACACAUAGACUCCUAUGGGAGUCUGAAAGCCUGUCAGUCAGCCAAGCCCAGCCAUAUGUUCAGUGCUUCCAAUACCACUUCAUUGUUUUAAUUAUGAAUGAAAAAUAGCAUCUGUACAAAUUUAAGGGAAACUUAGAAUAUAAGAAAUAAAGACUAAAGUGAAUGGAUGAACCCAGAAAGCUCGAGAGACUUUUGAGAAGGAUGAAAAUUGUAGAGUUUGAUAUUAUUUUCAUAGCAAAAGGAAAGCUGUUAUAAUUAUGAAACAAGAUCAUGAUGUUAUGAACAAGAGACAUUUUUGAGAAUAGGAAAGAGUACUUAUAAAACACGAUAGAACACAAAUUCUCUGAUCUGCCUAUCAAGGAAUAUUGCCCAGAAACCAAAACACAAGGUUGUUCUAAAAAUGUG
rnacentral:lncRNA from 1 species